rnacentral:lncRNA from 1 species
AUGAUAACUAACUCCAAAUAUGAUAUUUAUGAUACGAGAUAUUUGCUCCCAGCACUCUACCAGAAGAUCAGAGAGUUGAAUCACAGCCUCAUGUUCAGCUCCUUGUUUUUCAGGAAGAUGCUUCAGUGUGUCUCCUGGGAAUGGAAGGGAGGCACCAGGCUGGCAGGGAUGGAAGAUACUGAAGGAAAGGGGGUCCAGUUCAUCUGCAUGAUAAGAGCACUGAUCAAUCAAUCAAUCAAUCAGUCAACAAAUGAAUACCUCUGGCUGAGAGGAGAAGAGGAAGAUGAAGGGGGAGAGGAGACUAUUCCAGCUGAGUGAGCCAGAUUCUUUUCUACCCAUUACUCUUACUCUACUUCCUAACCAGAAACUCUUCUAAUCUUUCUCUUCUCUCUCUCUUUCUCUCUCUCUCUUUAGAGACGAAGUGAGGAGGCGCAGAGAAAGAGGGAGAAAGAGAAUCCCAAGCAGACUCUGUGCCCAGCACGGAGCCCGACUCAGGGCUCAAGCUCACAACCCUGAGAUCAUGACCUGAGCCAAAAAUCAAGAGUUGCACACUUAACUGAGUCACCCAGGCACCUUUCUCUUCUUUAAUAAAGGAAUAAUCAU